rnacentral:rRNA from 1 species
GAUGAACGCUGGCGGCGUGCCUAAUACAUGCAAGUCGAGCGAACAGACGAGGAUCUUUCUCCUCUGACGUUAGCGGCGGACGGGUGAGUAACACGUGGUUAACCUACCUCUAAGACUGGUAUAACUUCGGGAAACCGGAUCUAAUACCGGAUAAUAUAUUGAACCGCAUGGUUCAAUAGUGAAAUACGGUUUUGCUGUCACUUAUAGAUUGAUCCGCGCCGCAUUAGCUAGUUGGUAAGGUAACGGCUUACCAAGGCAACGAUGCGUAGCCGACAUGAGAGGGUGAUCGGCCACACUGGAACGGAGACACGGUCCAGACUCCUACGGGAGGCAGCAGUAGGGAAUCUUCCGAAAUGGGCGAAAGCCUGACGGAGCAACGCCGCGUGAGUGAUGAAGGUCUUCGGAUCGUAAAACUCUGUUAUUAGGGAAGAACAAAUGUGUAAGUAACUAUGCACGUCUUGACGGUACCUAAUCAGAAAGCCACGGCUAACUACGUG